CAAAAGAAAAGGGAUUGUUUGGUUUUAAUAAAUGUUACAGGUUUAUACAAGGUCUCAAAUAGGUUAUACACAUUUGGAGAAUGAUGAAGAAGCACAAAGUACUACAAGUUCAGUCAUGAGAAAUGUUAGCCGACUUCUUCAUCAUGUCUACACCAACUACACAUCUAUGAAGUCUACCUAUCCGUUUGGGACAUGGCAACAGAAGGACCAGUUCAAGACUUGGCGCCCAUGAAGCUAAACCAUCAAAGUGUCCAUGCGCCAGACUUGAAGAACGGAGGUCCAGAACAUGGGGAGUAGUGUGUGUUGUACUCUUUUUCCUUCACUUCGGUUUUGUCCCACUGGGUUUUCCGAGUAAGGUUUUAAUGAGGCAACAUUAAGCACACUACAAGCUCUAUAUGGUUCUGGCAUCCAAGGGGGAGUGUUAUGAAUAUUAUGUUUAUGGAUGUCCAGCCCAUUAGAUAUUUACUUGUAAUCUUGGCCCGUUUAUGGCCCAUUGUAUUUAGGCCCAUGUCGCCAUGUAUUUCCUAUAUAAGGAACACUUUGAUUCAAUAAUAAGAUUAGAGUUUUCACAACAAGAACAAAGUUUUGUAAUUUAUAGAUAACCUUGGAGAAAUCUCUCCACAGUUUAGCCAAAGGAAGCUUCCUCUCUCGUCAAUAACAUAAACGCCACUUUCUUUGUCGUCUUCAACGGCGUUUCUUGAAUCUUCGUUGCCCGCCACAUGAGUUCUCUCUCCGUCAUCUGUGUUGGCUGCAGCUGAAGCGGUGAGAGAGAGGGAAUAGGAGGAAUGAGAAGAUAGACGAAAGGGCUGGGGACUGAAAGAAACGUUUCUUAAUGUGGAAGUUGAGUCUGAAUACAAAAUGAAUUAAUGAUGGGGCUAAGGAGAAGUAUCUGUUAUACAUUUUGUAACUUUCAUAUUUUACUUUUUUUUCCCUUGAAAUUUCAAUAAAAAGACAAACAUAUUUGUGUU